AGGAGAUAUAAGAUGGUAUACGGCCGGAGAUCAAGUUAUAAUGUAUCAUUUGCCAGUCAGACGAGUGCUGGAUGGUAAUCUACACAGAUUUCUCUCCUGAAAAUGUUUAUUUGGAUGCGGGCGUUCCCCUUGAAUCUCCAUUGAACAGCUGGUUUUGGACUAACUGCUGGUGCCCUGAACCCUCGUCUGAUACUGACCACGCCAACCCUGCCAGUUUCAAGCAUUCUUCCAAACAUAGGGAGCGAACAGGUUUUGAUUGAUCUCCGAUUGAAAAAGAAGAAAGAAACCAGAAAAAAACAUCACAAACUCCAAAUCUGUGGAGAUUAGACGCUGUACAGAAGGUGCCCCCACAUCAGCGCAGAGUCCGCUGACCCAGCUCUUCUACAAUUAACAUCUCUGUGCUUUGGGAGGUCACAGCGAUCGCAGUGAGAUGUAAAAGCACCAGGCUCUAAAUGGCAGGACAGAUCCUGCAGUACAUGUAAGGUGGUGCAGCUGCCCGCCCUGGCCGUGUGUACCUCCCCUCAGGCAAAACAACAAGCUGUUAAGCAAGUCCGCGCUUGUGAGCCGAAUACCGAAUGUUUUUUUGUCCGCCCUCAGGCCUUCGACGAGUUGCCCUAGGAGGGAACCGAUGCGAGCGGAGCUGACCUGGAAGGGGAUAAGGUAGCAGAUGCUUGCAUGUCAUGAGCAGAUUCGGGUUCUUCACCGUUGUUUUAUGCUGGUGUGCGCUGGGUAUAGAGCUGAAUAUUAAUAGAUUCCCAAUUUCUUGUUUAUCGUUUCUUUUCUUUUCUUGCCGGACUCUUGUUUAAACAUGUAACCUUGUCGAGGUAAAUCAUUUUCCCAGUUAAAAAAAGGGAAGAAAUAAAACAUACAAAUAAUACA
rnacentral:lncRNA from 1 species